rnacentral:rRNA from 1 species
GUAAGGAAUAUUGGUCAAUGGAGGCAACUCUGAACCAGCCAUGCCGCGUGCAGGAAGACGGCCCUCUGGGUUGUAAACUGCUUUUAUCCGGGAAUAAACCUGCCUUCGUGAAGGUAGCUGAAUGUACCGGAAGAAUAAGGAUCGGCUAACUCCGUGCCAGCAGCCGCGGUAAUACGGAGGAUCCAAGCGUUAUCCGGAUUUAUUGGGUUUAAAGGGUGCGUAGGCGGCCUGUUAAGUCAGGGGUGAAAGACGGUGGCUCAACCAUCGCAGUGCCCUUGAUACUGAUGGGCUUGAAUGGACUAGAGGUAGGCGGAAUGUGACAAGUAGCGGUGAAAUGCAUAGAUAUGUCACAGAACACCGAUUGCGAAGGCAGCUUACUAUGGUCCUAUUGACGCUGAGGCACGAAAGCGUGGGGAUCGAACAGGAUUAGAAACCCGAGUAGUCC